UAGAGACAUUGUUUCUAAUUCUUUAGGAGA
rnacentral:piRNA from 1 species